UGGGUUUGACAUGAUCGUAGUAGUGAACCGAAAGGGGAACGAGCUUAGGCAGCGACCACAGGUGUUGCAUGGCUGUCGUCAGCUCGUGUCGUGAGAUGUUGGGUUAAGUCCCGCAACGAGCGCAACCCUCGUUGCCAGUUACAUGUGUCUGGCGAGACUGCCGGUAUCAAGCCGGAGGAAGGUGAGGAUGACGUCAAGUCAGCAUGACCAUUAUAUCCAGGGCUACACACACGCUACAAUGGUCGGUACAAUGAGUUGCCAAGUCGUGAGGCGGAGCUAAUCUCAUCAAAACCGGCCUCAGUUCGGAUUGGAGGCUGCAACCCGCCUCCAUGAAGUCGGAGUUGCUAGUAAACGCCGGUCAGCUAUACGGCGUUGAAUACGUUCCCGGGCCU
rnacentral:rRNA from 1 species